rnacentral:rRNA from 1 species
UACGUAGGGUGCGAGCGUUAAUCGGAAUUACUGGGCGUAAAGCGUGCGCAGGCGGUUUUGUAAGUCAGAUGUGAAAUCCCCGGGCUUAACCUGGGAACUGCGUUUGAAACUACAAGGCUAGAGUGUGGCAGAGGGGGGUGGAAUUCCACGUGUAGCAGUGAAAUGCGUAGAGAUGUGGAGGAAUACCGAUGGCGAAGGCAGCCUCCUGGGCCAACACUGACGCUCAUGCACGAAAGCGUGGGGAGCAAACAGG